rnacentral:rRNA from 1 species
CGCUCAACGGAUAAAAGCUACCCCGGGGAUAACAGGCUGAUCUCCCCCAAGAGUCCACAUCGACGGGGAGGUUUGGCACCUCGAUGUCGGCUCAUCGCAUCCUGGGGCUGUAGUCGGUCCCAAGGGUUGGGCUGUUCGCCCAUUAAAGCGGUACGCGAGCUGGGUUCAGAACGUCGUGAGACAGUUCGGUCCCUAUCCGUCGCGGGCGUAGGAAAUUUGAGAGGAGCUGUCCUUAGUACGAGAGGACCGGGAUGGACGCACCGCUGGUGUACCAGUUGUCCCGCCAGGGGCACCGCUGGGUAGCUAUGUGCGGACGGGAUAAGCGCUGAAAGCAUCUAAGCGUGAAGCCCACCUCAAGAUGAGAUUUCCCACCGCGUCAGGCGGGUAAGAUCCCUCGAAGAUGACGAGGUCGAUAGGUCCGAGGUGGAAGCGUGGCGACACGUGGAGCUGACGGAUACUAAUCGAUCGAGGGCUUAACCUAA